GUUGGAAUAGCUCAGUUGGUUAGAGCGUGUGGUUGUUAACCGCAAGGUCGAAGGUUCGACCCCUUCUUCUAGCG
rnacentral:tRNA from 1 species